UCCGGUUGAUCCUGCCAGAGGUGUACUGCUAUCGGAGUUCGAGUGAAGCCAUGCGAGUGCUAAAGGUUUCUUCGGAAACCUUGGCGGACUGCUCAGUAACACGUGGAUAACCUACCCUUAGGACUGGAAUAACCCCGGGAAACUGGGGAUAAUACCGGAUAGAUCAGGGAUGCUGGAAUGCACCUUGAUCCAAAGCCCCGGCGCCUAAGGAUGGGUCUGCGGCCUAUCAGGUUGUAGUGGGUGUAACGUACCUACUAGCCAACGACGGGUACGGGUUGUGAGAGCAAGAGCCCGGAGAUGGAUUCUGAGACACGAAUCCAGGCCCUACGGGGUGCAGCAGGCGCGAAACCUUUACAAUGUGCGAAAGCAUGAUAAGGGAACUCCGAGUGCCAGCAUCUAACGCUGGCUGUCCUUGUGCCUAAAACGCACAAGAUAGCAAGGGCCGGGUAAGACCGGUGCCAGCCGCCGCGGUAACACCGGCGGCCCGAGUGGUAGCCGCUAUUAUUGGGUCUAAAGGGUCCGUAGCCGGUUCGAUAAGUCCUCUGGGAAAUCUGGUUGCUUAACAAUCAGACUGCCAAGGGAUACUGUCGAACUUGAGACCGGGAGAGGUAAGAGGUACUUCAGGGGUAGGAGUGAAAUCUUGUAAUCCCUGGGGGACCAUCUGUGGCGAAGGCGUCUUACCAGAACGGGUCUGACGGUGAGGGACGAAAGCUGGGGGCGCAAACCGGAUUAGAUACCCGGGUAGUCCCAGCCGUAAACGAUGCUCGCUAUGUGUCAGGUACGGUGUGACCGUAUCUGGGUGCCGUAGGGGAAGCCGUGAAGCGAGCCACC
rnacentral:rRNA from 1 species